UACGAAGGGGGCUAGCGUUGCUCGGAAUCACUGGGCGUAAAGGGUGCGUAGGCGGGUCUUUAAGUCAGGGGUGAAAUCCUGGAGCUCAACUCCAGAACUGCCCUUGAUACUGAAGGUCUUGAGUUCGGGAGAGGUAAGUGGAACUGCGAGUGUAGAGGUGAAAUUCGUAGAUAUUCGCAAGAACACCAGUGGCGAAGGCGGCUCACUGGCCCGAUACUGACGCUGAGGCACGAAAGCGUGGGGAGCAAACAGGAUUAGAUACCCUGGUAGUCCACGCUGUAAACGAUGAAUGCCAGCCGUUAGUGGGCUUACUCACUAGUGGCGCAGCUAACGCUUUAAGCAUUCCGCCUGGGGAGUACGGUCGCAAGAUUAAAACUCAAGA
rnacentral:rRNA from 1 species